UUUAAUUAAGGUAUUGUUUUUAAUUUUAUUUUUGUUUAUAUUUAUAUUAGAAAUAACUUAUUUGUUAGUAAAUUUUAUUGAACACAUUAUUUUUAACUAUAGUUUAUAGUACUGUGAGGGAAAUAUCUUUAAUUAUGAAAAAGUAGAUUUUGUUUAUCGUACCUUUUGUAUCAGGGUUUAUUAAUUUUAAAUUAACUAUUGUUAAUUUUCCCGAAAUUAGGAGAGAUAUAUUUAAAUGUAAGUUUACGUGUUAAAGUAAUUUUUAAUUUAUAUAUAGGGGUUAUAUGCUAUUCAAUCUUAAAUAUCUGGUUUUCUAAUAAUUUAAUUUAAUUAAGAUUAUUGUUAUGUUAUUAUAUAAUUUUAUUUUUUUUAAUUACAAUAAUUAAGUUUAUAGGGGAUAAGCUCUAUAUGCAUUUUAUAACUCUUAGUUUUGUAAAUAAAAUUUUGUAGGCUUAGCAACAGCCAUCUUUAUUUCGUUACAGUUAUUUUUUAUUUAUUUUUUAUUUAUUUAGGGUUUAAUUUUUUAUUAGAAUUUUUUAUUUAAUUGUUUUUUAUAAGUAAUAAUGAUAGAAUUAGUAGUUUUGGGUAUUUAAAUAUAGGAAUUCGGCAAAUUUUAUUUCCGCCUGUUUAACAAAAACAUGUCCUUUAGAAAUUGUAAUUUUAGGUCUGAUCUGCCCAGUGAUUUAAUUAAACGGCCGCAGUAUUUUGACUGUGCGAAGGUAGCAUAAUCACUUGUCUUUUAAUUGAAGGCUAGAAUGAAUGGUUGGACGAGAAAUAAACUUUCUUUAUUUAAAUUUUAUGAAUUUGAUUUUUGAGUUAAAAAGCUUAAAUUUUUUUGCAAGACGAGAAGACCCUAUAGAAUUUUAUUAAACUAGUUAUUUUUAUUUUUUGGAUUAAUAAUUUGAUGAAUUUAAUUAUUUUAAUUUUGUUGGGGCGACAGUGAAAAUUGAUUAACUUUCAUAUUUAAUUUGUCAUUAAUUAAUGUAAUUUUUGAUCCUUUAUUAUGGAUUAUUAGAUUAAAUUACCUUAGGGAUAACAGCGUAAUUUAUUCGGAGAGUUCUUAUCGAUGAAUUAGUUUGCGACCUCGAUGUUGGAUUAAAAUUAGUUGUGGGUGCAGCAGCUCACAUAACUAAGUCUGUUCGACUUUUAAAAUUUUACAUGAUCUGAGUUCAGACCGGCGUGAGCCAGGUUGGUUUCUAUCUGCAAUAGUUAAAGUUAUAUCUUAGUACGAAAGGACCGGGUAUAAGUAAUAUUUAUAGUUUUGUUGAAUAUUAUUAA
rnacentral:rRNA from 1 species